rnacentral:misc_RNA from 1 species
AGCAGCCGCGGUAAUUCCAGCUCCAAUAGCGUAUAUUAAAGUUGCUGCAGUUAAAAAGCUCGUAGUUGAAUUUCGGGGUUAGUAGGUUGGUCAUGCCUCUGGUAUGUACUGGUCUCACUGAUUCCUCCUUCCUGAUGAGCCGUAAUGCCAUUAAUUUGGUGUUGCGAGGAAUUUGGACUGUUACUUUGAAAAAAUUUAGAGUGUUUAAAGCAAGCUAACGCUUGAAUACAUUAGCAUGGAAUAAUGAAAUAGGACGUUCGAUCCUAUUUUGUUGGUUUCUAGGAUUGACGUAAUGAUUAAUAGGGAUAGUUGGGGGCAUUAGUAUUCAAUUGUCAGAGGUGAAAUUCUUGGAUUUAUUGAAGACUAACUACUGCGAAAGCAUUUGCCAAGGAUGUUUUCAUUAAUCAAGAACGAAAGUUAGGGGAUCGAAGACGAUCAGAUACCGUCGUAGUCUUAACCAUAAACUAUGCCGACUAGGGAUCGGAUGAUGUUAAUUUUUUUAAUGACUCAUUCGGCGCCU